UACAGAGGUCUCAAGCGUUGUUCGGAUUCAUUGGGCGUAAAGGGUGCGCAGGCGGCGGGGCAAGUCGGACGUGAAAUCCCGGGGCUUAACCCCGGAACUGCGUUCGAUACUGCCUUGCUAGAGGACUGGAGAGGAGACUGGAAUUCCUGGUGUAGCAGUGAAAUGCGUAGAUAUCAGGAGGAACGCCAAUGGCGAAGGCAAGUCUCUGGACAGUUCCUGACGCUCAUGCACGAAGGCCAGGGGAGCAAACGGG
rnacentral:rRNA from 1 species